rnacentral:rRNA from 1 species
AGUUUGAUCCUGGCUCAGAUUGAACGCUGGCGGCAGGCCUAACACAUGCAAGUCGAACGGUAACAGAGAGUAGCUUGCUACUUUGCUGACGAGUGGCGGACGGGUGAGUAAUGUCUGGGGAUCUGCCUGAUGGAGGGGGAUAACUACUGGAAACGGUAGCUAAUACCGCAUAAUGUCGCAAGACCAAAGCGGGGGACUUUCGGGCCUCGCGCCAUCAGAUGAACCCAGAUGGGAUUAGCUAGUAGGUAAGGUAAUGGCUUACCUAGGCGACGAUCCCUAGCUGGUCUGAGAGGAUGACCAGCCACACUGGAACUGAGACACGGUCCAGACUCCUACGGGAGGCAGCAGUGGGGAAUAUUGCACAAUGGGCGCAAGCCUGAUGCAGCCAUGCCGCGUGUAUGAAGAAGGCCUUCGGGUUGUAAAGUACUUUCAGUCAGGAGGAAGGGUGUGAAAUUAAUACUUUCAUGCAUUGACGUUACUGACAGAAGAAGCACCGGCUAACUCCGUGCCAGCAGCCGCGGUAA